GAAAAAAUAAAAACGUGAGAAACUUAACCUAACGUGUCUGUUACGUCACCGUAUCACGUGUCCCGGAAGUGUUUAAGAUCGCUCGGCGGCGGUCCUCGGGGUGGUUGGAACCUCCGUGCAAUGGCCGUGGCUAAUACAUAUUCCUACUCCCGUGAACAACCCGGUGUCUAAGAGUGGCCUCAGAGCGAUGUCGUGACAAGUGGGGGGCUCGUCCGUUGGUGCGCGCGCAGCGCAGUCAGUCGUUGAAUUGGCCGGUGCGCGAGCUGCGUUGUUGGUGUUCGGGACGGCGGAAACCGGGAAGGGUGGUUGUCGGAGACACGCGGGAGUGUGCAGCAGCUUGACCUCCGACAUGUGAUCCACAUCUCAAUGGACGACACGUCAGCUGGAAGUUGUUUUAUUCAUACAGUAUAAAAAGGAUUGUUUUCCUAUUGUAUUCACAAAAGCUCAGGAGUAGACGUAUGAACUUGUGCACAAAAAUCCAUCACAUAGAGACAUGAACACACACACACACAUCCACAAAACACUCUUACACACUGCUGUCGACUCUCUGUCCAUGAUAAGUCCUCCACAAACUGCAACCCAUUCAUCUGGGUUUCUCUCUGACACACACACACACACACAUUCUAUUAUGUAUAUUGUAUUAAUAAAUAUUAUUCAGAACAGCAA